AAGGCUGGGGACUCUAAUGAGACUGCCAUCGUAAGAUGUGAGGAAGGUGGGGAUGACGUCAAAUCAGCACGGCCCUUACGUCCGGGGCGACACACGUGUUACAAUGGGUGGUACAAAGGGCAGCUACCUGGCGACAGGAUGCUAAUCUCCAAAACCACUCUCAGUUCGGAUCGGAGUCUGCAACUCGACUCCGUGAAGCUGGAUUCGCUAGUAAUCGCGCAUCAGCCACGGCGCGGUGAAUACGUUCCCGGGCCUU
rnacentral:rRNA from 1 species